rnacentral:misc_RNA from 1 species
AGCAGCCGCGGUAAUUCCAGCUCCAAUAGCGUAUAUUAAAGUUGUUGCAGUUAAAAAGCUCGUAGUUGAAUUUCGGGGUUUAUACAUUGGUCGGGCUUUUUGGUCUGUACUUAUGUAAUGGAUUCCUACCUUCUGAAUAACUAGCAUGCCAUUAAUUUGGUGCGCCGGGGAAGCAGGACUGUUACCUUGAAAAAAUUAGAGUGCUUAAAGCAGGCUAUCGCCUGAAUACAUUAGCAUGGAAUAAUGAAAUAGGACGGCAUGGUUCUAUUUUGUUGGUUUCUAGGAUCACCGUAAUGAUUAAUAGGGAUAGUUGGGGGCAUUAGUAUUCAAUUGUCAGAGGUGAAAUUCUUGGAUUUAUUGAAGACUAACUUCUGCGAAAGCAUUUGCCAAGGAUGUUUUCAUUAAUCAAGAACGAAAGUUAGGGGAUCGAAGACGAUCAGAUACCGUCGUAGUCUUAACCAUAAACUAUGCCGACUAG